rfam:Rhodobacter phage RC1 genomic sequence.
GAGCGAAACGCCCCGACCGGGGCGUCGCCGGGGCGUGGUGGCCUCGGCCUGAUGAUGCAGCCGCUG